UGGGGAAUCUUGCGCAAUGGGCGAAAGCCUGACGCAGCAACGCCGCGUGUGUGAUGAAGGUCUUCGGAUCGUAAAGCACUGUCGCGAGGGACGAAUAAGCCUUUGGCUAACAUCCAGGGGCGAUGACGGUACCUCGAAAGGAAGCACCGGCUAACUCUGUGCCAGCAGCCGCGGUAAUACAGAGGGUGCGAGCGUUGUUCGGAAUUAUUGGGCGUAAAGCGCGUGUAGGCGGCUUAGUAAGUUGGGUGUGAAAGCCCUCGGCUUAACCGAGGAAGUGCGCCCAAAACUGCUUGGCUUGAGUACCGGAGAGGGUGGCGGAAUUCCCGGUGUAGAGGUGAAAUUCGUAGAUAUCGGGAGGAACACCAGCGGCGAAGGCGGCCACCUGGACGGAUACUGACGCUGAGACGCGAAAGCGUGGGGAGCAAACA
rnacentral:rRNA from 2 species